rnacentral:rRNA from 1 species
UACAGAGGUCUCAAGCGUUGUUCGGAUUCAUUGGGCGUAAAGCGCGUGUAGGCGGCUCGGUAAGUCUGCUGUGAAAGUCCAGGGCUCAACCCUGGAACGCCGGUGGAUACUGUCGAGCUCGAGUCCGGAAGAGGCGAGUGGAAUUCCUGGUGUAGCGGUGAAAUGCGCAGAUAUCAGGAGGAACACCAAUGGCGAAGGCAGCUCGCUGGGACGGUACUGACGCUGAGACGCGAAAGCGUGGGGAGCAAACAGG